rnacentral:misc_RNA from 1 species
CCGAGAGAGGGUGCCUCGCGCGCCCGACCUCCCAACCCUUUGUCGACCACACCGCGUUGCCUCGGGGCCGUCCUCACGGGCGCCCCAGAGGACGUCAACCAAACUCUUGCGUCUUUGCGUCGGAGUCAUUAUGUGAAUCAAUCA